rnacentral:rRNA from 1 species
GAUGAACGCUGGCGGCGUGCCUAAUACAUGCAAGUCGAGCGAACGGACGAGAAGCUUGCUUCUCUGAUGUUAGCGGCGGACGGGUGAGUAACACGUGGAUAACCUACCUAUAAGACUGGGAUAACUUCGGGAAACCGUAGCUAAUACCGGAUAAUAUUUUGAACCGCAUGGUUCAAAAGUGAAAGACGGUCUUGCUGUCACUUAUAGAUGGAUCCGCGCUGCAUUAGCUAGUUGGUAAGGUAACGGCUUACCAAGGCAACGAUGCAUAGCCGACCUGAGAGGAUGAUCGGCCACACUGGAACUGAGACACGGUCCAGACUCCUACGGGAGGCAGCAGUAGGGAAUUUUCCACAAUGGGCGAAAGCCUGACGGAGCAACGCCGCGUGAGUGAUGAAGGUCUUCGGAUCGUAAAACUCUGUUAUUAGGGAAGAACAGAUGUGUAAGUAACUGUGCACAUCUUGACGGUACCUAAUCAGAAAGCCACGGCUAACUACGUG